ACGCACGCUGGCGGCGUGCUUAACACAUGCAAGUCGAACGGGCCCGCUCUCUUUUUUGGGGGUGGGUUGAGUGGCGAACGGGUGAGUAUCACGUGAGUAACCUGCCCCCUGCUCCUGGAUAACUGCUUGAAAGGGCGGCUAAUACGGGGUGUGCCGGCUGGUCCGCAUGGGCCUGGUCGGGAUAGUUUCAUCUUCGGGUGUUUCGGUGGGGGAUGGGCUCGCGGCCUAUCAGCUUGUUGGUGGGGUGAUGGCCCACCAAGGCGGUGACGGGUAGCCGGCCUGAGAGGGUGGGCGGCCACACUGGGACUGAGACACGGCCCAGACUCCUGCGGGAGGCAGCAGUGGGGGGUAUUGCACAAUGGGCGGAGGCCUGAUGCAGCGACGUCGCGUGAGGGAUGGAGGCCUUCGGGUUGUGAACCUCUUUCUCCGGUGGUGAAGGCCCUGUCCGUUGCGGCGGGGUUGACGGUAGCCGGGUAUGAAGCGCCGGCUAACUACGUG
rnacentral:rRNA from 1 species